UACGUAGGUGGCAAGCGUUGUCCGGAAUUAUUGGGCGUAAAGCGCGCGUAGGCGGUUAGUUAAGCUGGAUGUGAAAUCCCAGGGCUCAACCCUGGAACUGCCUUAUAAACUCCUGGUCUUGAGUUCGAGAGAGGUGAGUGGAAUUCCAAGUGUAGAGGUGAGAUUCGUAGAUAUUUGGAGGAACACCAGUGGCGAAGGCGGCUCACUGGCUCGAUACUGACGCUGAGGUGCGAAAGCGUGGGGAGCAAACAGG
rnacentral:misc_RNA from 1 species